rnacentral:rRNA from 1 species
GACAGAGGUGCCGAGCGUUAGGCGGAAUCACUGGGCUUAAAGCGUGUGUAGGCGGAUGGGUAAGUACCUUGUGAAAUCCCACGGCUCAACCGUGGAACUGCUCGGUAUACUGCUCGUCUUGAGCCAACUAGGGGCGACCGGAACAAACGGUGGAGCGGUGAAAUGCGUAGAUAUCGGAAGGAACGCCGGUGGCGAAAGCGACGUGCUGGACCUCUUCUGACGCUGAGGCGCGAAAGCCAGGGGAGCGAACGGG